rnacentral:rRNA from 1 species
GACGAACGCUGGCGGCGUGCCUAAUACAUGCAAGUAGAACGCUGAAGGAGGAGCUUGCUCUUCUGGAUGAGUUGCGAACGGGUGAGUAACGCGUAGGUAACCUGCCUGGUAGCGGGGGAUAACUAUUGGAAACGAUAGCUAAUACCGCAUAACAGUAGAUGUUGCAUGACAUUUGCUUAAAAGGUGCAAUUGCAUCACUACCAGAUGGACCUGCGUUGUAUUAGCUAGUUGGUGGGGUAACGGCUCACCAAGGCGACGAUACAUAGCCGACCUGAGAGGGUGAUCGGCCACACUGGGACUGAGACACGGCCCAGACUCCUACGGGAGGCAGCAGUAGGGAAUCUUCGGCAAUGGACGGAAGUCUGACCGAGCAACGCCGCGUGAGUGAAGAAGGUUUUCGGAUCGUAAAGCUCUGUUGUAAGAGAAGAACGAGUGUGAGAGGGAAAGUUCAC